CUACGGGUGGCAGCAGUGAGGAAUAUUGCACAAUGGGGGGAACCCUGAUGCAGCAACGCCGCGUGGAGGAUGACGCAUUUCGGUGUGUAAACUCCUUUUAUAUGUCAAGAAAAUGACGGUAGCAUAUGAAUAAGCACCGGCUAACUCCGUGCCAGCAGCCGCGGUAAUACGGCGGGUGCAAGCGUUACUCGGAAUCACUGGGCGUAAAGGACGCGUAGGCGGGUUGGAAAGUCAGGUGUGAAAUCCUACAGCUUAACUGUAGAACUGCACUUGAAACUUCUAAUCUAGAGCAUGGGAGGGGGAGAUGGAAUUAGUGGUGUAGGGGUAAAAUCCGUAGAUAUCACUAGGAAUACCUAAAGCGAAGGCGAUCUCCUGGAACAUUACUGACGCUAAGGCGUGAAAGCGUGGGGAGCAAACAGGAUUAGAUACCCCGGUAGUC
rnacentral:rRNA from 1 species